GCUUUAUUAGUAUAGUUUUAGUAUAUUUGCCUUCCAAGCAAAAGGUUUAUGAGUUAAAUAAAGUA
rnacentral:tRNA from 1 species